rnacentral:rRNA from 1 species
AGCACGGGAGCAAUCCUGGUGGCGAGUGGCGAACGGGUGAGUAAUAUAUCGGAACGUGCCCAGUCGUGGGGGAUAACGCAGCGAAAGCUGUGCUAAUACCGCAUACGAUCUACGGAUGAAAGCGGGGGACUCGCAAGAGCCUCGCGCGAUUGGAGCGGCCGAUAUCAGAUUAGCUAGUUGGUGGGGUAAAAGCCCACCAAGGCGACGAUCUGUAGCUGGUCUGAGAGGACGACCAGCCACACUGGAACUGAGACACGGUCCAGACUCCUACGGGAGGCAGCAGUGGGGAAUUUUGGACAAUGGGCGCAAGCCUGAUCCAGCAAUGCCGCGUGCAGGAUGAAGGCCUUCGGGUUGUAAACUGCUUUUGUACGGAACGAAACGGUCUGCCCUAAUACGGCGGGCUAAUGACGGUACCGUAAGAAUAAGCACCGGCUAACUACGUGCCAGCAGCCGCGGUAAUACGUAGGGUGCGAGCGUUAAUCGGAAUUACUGGGCGUAAAGCGUGCGCAGGCGGUUAUGUAAGACAGAUGUGAAAUCCCCGGGCUCAACCUGGGACCUGCAUUUGUGACUGCAUAGCUAGAGUACGGUAGAGGGGGAUGGAAUUCCGCGUGUAGCAGUGAAAUGCGUAGAUAUGCGGAGGAACACCGAUGGCGAAGGCAAUCCCCUGGACCUGUACUGACGCUCAUGCACGAAAGCGUGGGGAGCAAACAGGAUUAGAUACCCUGGUAGUCCACGCCCUAAACGAUGUCAACUGGUUGUUGGGUCUUCACUGACUCAGUAACG